rnacentral:rRNA from 1 species
CCAGACUCCUACGGGAGGCAGCAGUGGGGAAUAUUGGGCAAUGGAGGCAACUCUUACCCAGCAAUGCCGCGUGAAUGAAGAAGGUCUUCGGAUUGUAAAGUUCUUUAAUUGGGGACGAAAAAAAUGACGGUACCCAAGGAAUAAGCACCGGCUAACUACGUGCCAGCAGCCGCGGUAAUACGUAGGGUGCAAGCGUUAUCCGGAUUUAUUGGGCGUAAAGGGCUCGUAGGCGGUUCGUCGCGUCCGGUGUGAAAGUCCAUCGCUUAACGGUGGAUCCGCGCCGGGUACGGGCGGGCUUGAGUGCGGUAGGGGAGACUGGAAUUCCCGGUGUAACGGUGGAAUGUGUAGAUAUCGGGAAGAACACCAAUGGCGAAGGCAGGUCUCUGGGCCGUUACUGACGCUGAGGAGCGAAAGCGUGGGGAGCGAACAGGAUUAGAUACCCCAGUAA